UCUGUUGCCAGCGCAGCCUAUCUCUAUGAACGAUUAUACAUGGAAGUGAAGGUCGCUCAGGAUUUCACGGACAGUGAACAAAAUACGCUUCUUUACGUUACUCAAGACAGUUUUUUGGCUGAUUUUUCAGCAUUUGUAUUGAUUCGAGAUGCUCCAUUCAAGCCAAACAUUGACUACUGCUUAUUUACAUUUCACGGGGCUGGACUGAUAGAGAAGUGGGGAAGGGACGUGAUGGAUAAAAUUCGCAGUGAGAGCAGGAAGAAACGGAGAAAGGAAAAGUCACAUGAAGCAAAGGAGGCUGAAGCAAAAAUCAAGCCCCUUGCUCUCGUGCAUAUGCAGGGGCCGCUCUCCCUUUACCUGGCAUGUAUCAUCAUCUCCUUUGCUGCCUUCCUCAGUGAGGCAACCUUUGGCGUCUGGUGUCAUCAACGAACAAGAAAAAUAUAAUAGCACUCUUCCUUUAUUGCGGCUUUCCAUGCUUCUAGUUCGGAACGCCACAGACAAAAUGAAUCUUUGUUAUGUAUAGUGAACAUUGCAUUUAGAGAGAGAAAAAAAAAAGGAAAAAAAUACAGGUUUUGUUCAUCUGAAAAAAAAAAAAUAAAAUAAAAUAAACGCCAUGUUCGACUGGGAAAGUGGUUCAUGUUUUUACAAAUAAAGUAAAUAACAGAU